rfam:Cricetulus griseus cell line CHO-K1, whole genome shotgun sequence.
CAAAAGGCCCUUUGCAGGGCCACACAAAAAUAUAUAAAUAUAUAG